rnacentral:lncRNA from 1 species
CCGUUUACAACAUAAGUCACAGUUAUAAGGUUUAUCACCUGUAUGAGUUCUCAUGUGACUCUGUAAACUACCAUGUUGACUAAACCCUUUACCACAUACACCACAUUCAUGAGGUUUCUCCCCUGUAUGUGUUCUCAUGUGAGUUUGUAAAUUACCAAGGUGACGAAAUCCUUUACCACAUACAUCACAGUCAUAAGGUUUAUCGCCUGUAUGUAUUCUCAUGUGUCUCUGUAAAGUAAUACGCUGAAUAAACCUUUUACCACAUACAUUACAGUCAUGAGGUUUGUCACCGGUAUGUGUUCUCAUGUGAUUUUUUAAGUAACCAAGCUGACUGAACCGU